rnacentral:lncRNA from 1 species
AAAAUCAUAUAAAAGCAUAUAUAAAUAUAUGCUCUAUCAAAUAUCCCCACACUUCGUGUUUUGCACGUCCUCGGGCAAACAAAACAACUAAAACUAAUUCCUAAUAAUUAUAUACCACUUCCGUAGGUGAUCACGGUUGCAUUUGGCAUAUGCAACAAGCCCUUUAAACCCCUAGGCAGCCCUAGUGGACGAGUAAGGUCUCGUGAGGGCCUGUAGUGAAUGUACCCACAAAAUUCAUUUUUUUCUGCCAAGUC